GGAGUUUGGUCCGUGUCUCAGUACCAAUGUGGGGGACCUUCCUCUCAGAACCCCUACUGAUCGUCGGCUAGGUGGGCCGUUACCCCGCCUACUACCUAAUCAGACGCAUCCCCACUCCCUCGGCGAUGAAUCUUUACUCCUCCUCAGAUGUCCUCAAAGGAGACCAUAGGGCAUUAAUCC
rnacentral:rRNA from 1 species